AAGUGGGAAACAUCUUAUGACAUAACACUGUAGUCCAGUGAACCUAAAUGAACUACGGCCUCAACAAACUUCACAAAGGGCUGAGAGACGCGGAGAGGAGGAGACGCGCCUGGCACAAUCCCGCAGAAACAGUCAUCAAGUGAAAAGUGGAGAUGGGGAGGCGGCGAGCUGAAGUUCCGUCGGGUCACACUGCGCUCCUCUGGAGUUCAACGCGCGGCUCUGGCAUCGCAUCACUGGAGAUUUCGGAAGAUCUGUUGCCAGUUUCAGAGCGGAGUGAAUCCCCCGACCCGCGGUUAAAUAGUCAGACUGUACCUGGCUGCGUGAAACCGAUCAAGUGACAGGGCGACACGGCGAGAGCGCCACCACACGACCGGACUGCAGCUGCUGCUCAAAGACAUGACGUCUCUCUCUGGAUCUCGGGGAACCAGAGCGUGCACUGCCAUCUAGUGGAUGUUCUGAAUCUGGUGUCGACCACAGCGUUUUCAAUCUGAACACCAGGCAACAUGAGUGCAUCAAAUGCUAAGCACAGAUUUGAUCUACUACAUUACCCAGAGGCCAAUCUGUUUAUAUACCGUCUCAUCGGCAGCAGGUGGCAGCAUUGUUCAACAUGAUUCACCAAGGGAUUCAUCUAGAGUAGUGGUAAGGCUAUUUCAAUGUUUUACUCAUAUGUCGUUGUUUUUUGGUCUAAUUUCACAAAUU